rnacentral:rRNA from 1 species
UACCGUAGAGUGCAAGUCGUUUGGUCCGGAAUUAUUGGGCGUAAAGGGUACGCAGGCGGAUAGUAAAGUCAAAGCGUGAAAGGUGUCGGCUUAACCGACAGACUGCGUUUGAAACUGAUUAUCUUGAGGUGUAACAGAGGAGAGUGGAAUUCCUAGUGUAGUGGUGAAAUACGUAGAUAUUAGGAAGAACACCAGUGGCGAAGGCGACUCUCUGGGUUAACACUGACGCUGAGGUACGAAAGCUGGGGGAGCAAACGGGAUUAGAUACCCGGGUAGU